UUGGUUUUCUGCAGUUCUUCUAAAUGGAGCCACUGCCUCCAAAAGUUGGCAGUUUGGCUGUUCCUGCUGUCAUGGCAUAAAGACCCAUUAUUCCCUAUCUCAAGCAAUGAAAGCACUUCACAACUUGCUGUGUGGUCAUAUGAGCUUUUGCAGAGUCUGGAGUUCCAGAUAAUUCAUAUAAUUUAAAGCAAGGUUGUGUUUCCACAGCUGAAAAUGAUGGAGCUACUUCAGACAGUUCACAGCUAAACAUCCUCCCUUUUGGAAGGUAUCUAACCCAAACACGAGAAGAAAACCUUGGUUCUGCUGAAGCUAGUGGAAAAAUUCCCAUUAAGUUCAACGGAGGCCUGCACCAUGUAUUCAUGGCUGGACACACAGUUCUUGGCUGCAGUGGAAAGAAGCUGUCUGGAUAAGAAAGGAAAUGGAAGAUUUGCUACUCGGCAGAGCAGUCAUUCUUCACUGAGCCUCCCUUGUCCUUAGCAA
rnacentral:lncRNA from 1 species